rnacentral:misc_RNA from 1 species
UAUUGCCUUUUCAAUGAGCAUCUGGACCUGUAAAUUCCAGGGCUUUCGUUUAACAGCAGGCUUCAACACCUUAAACAAAGCAUUGCAAACAGUUGCAAGCAAAGAAGACAAAUCCAAUCCCUCAUCAACCCGUGAUUCUGCAGUGAUCAAGCUCUCAUUAGUAGACACGGAUGGUUUCAUAGCAGCCGCCGUUGAUUUCCUUUUGUCACCGUCCCCUGAAACCAUCUUCUCUCCACCCAACCCUGCAGUAUUCUUGCCAAUGAAUUUCACCGUCGUAACAGAUGAUGAAGUUGAACCAGGAGGAGGAACAUGACGCAGAGGCCUAAAAGAACGUAAAAGUCUUGUGAUUGCCAUUGCUCUUAAUUAAUUUAAUUUAAUUUUCUUGGUUUGGUUAGCAUGUGCUUUGCCUUUGUAGUACUUUC